rnacentral:antisense_RNA from 1 species
CUUGAGGGAGCCGAGCCACAGCGGCCGGUCCUCGGGACGACCGCUGCCGUACACCUCCUGGAUCGCCUGGGCUUC